GAUUUCUUUUGAUAAGAAAAAAAAUAUGAUGCCUUUCAUUCAUAUUCCGAGAAAGAGAGCGAGACAAAAACAAGUGUGGAAAGAAUCGAUCAUAUUAGAUUGGUUAUCAAUCACUCUCCAUGGAAUACUCAUUUGAGCAAGAUGUUGGCAUGAAAUUGUAGAGGUGAAAGACGAGCUGAAUCUAUAUCGAUCGUGCCUCGACCUCGAUCCUUCACCUCGUUAUUUAAAACAUAGUUUGAAUCUCAUUGUCAAUUAUGAAUAAAUUAAUGUAAAGAAUGCAGGUCUAGAAAAUAUUUUUUUUUCAUUUACAUUGAUAGUUAUAAAAUAGUUAUGAUCUAUGUAUAAUUAUUUUUACAUGUAAAUAGUUAUGACUUCAAAUUAAUAUACAUUAUUUUUUUCAA